rnacentral:misc_RNA from 1 species
GUGAAUCAUCAAAUCUUUGAACGCAAAUUGCACUCUCUUCGGAGAGUAUGCCUGUUUGAGGGUCAGUAUUAAUAAAAAUCGGUGUGUUGCUUCUUUGUGACGCUCCGGAGUUUGGGUCAUCUUAAUAUCCUUUAGGUUUUAAGAGGCUUAAAAUUGACUUUUUUUGGCGCUUUUAGGUUGACAUAAAUUUUUUUUUUUUUUUCGUCUGCUUUA